GCCGAGGUGGCGAAAUUGGCAGACGCGCCAGCCUUAGGAGCUGGUGGGGCAACCCGUGGGAGUUCAAAUCUCCCCCUCGGCA
rfam:Candidatus Giovannonibacteria bacterium RIFCSPLOWO2_12_43_8 rifcsplowo2_12_sub10_scaffold_2338, whole genome shotgun sequence.